GACAGAGGUGCCAAGCGUUAGGCGGAAUCACUGGGCUUAAAGCGUGUGUAGGCGGAUCGUUAAGUACCUUGUGAAAUCCCACGGCUCAACCGUGGAACUGCUGGGUAUACUGGCGGUCUUGAGCCACCUAGGGGCGAGCGGAACAAACGGUGGAGCGGUGAAAUGCGUAGAUAUCGUUUGGAACGCCAACGGUGAAAACAGCUCGCUGGGGUGUGCUGACGCUGAGACACGAAAGCCAGGGGAGCGAACGGG
rnacentral:rRNA from 1 species